ensembl:lncRNA
GCUCUAUACAGGGGGUACCGGUACAGAGUCAAUGUGGAGGCUCUAUACAGGGGGUACCGGUACCGAGGAAAUGUGGAGGCUAUAUACAGGGGGUACCAGUACCGAGUCAAUGUGGAGGCUCUAUACAGGGGGUACCGGUACCGAGUCAAUGCGGAGGCUCUAUACAGGGGGUACCGGUACCGAGGAAAUGUGGAGGCUAUGUACAGGAGGUACCGGUACAGUCAAUGUGGAGGCUAUGUACAGGUGGUACCGGUACUGAGGAAAUGUGGAAGCUAUGUACAGGUGGUACCGGUACCGAGGAAAUGUGGAGGCUAUGUACAGGAGGUACCGGUACAGAGUCAAUGUGGAGGCUAUGU